rnacentral:rRNA from 12 species
GCGACCCCAGGUCAGGCGGGACUACC